rnacentral:lncRNA from 1 species
AUGCUGGGAAUACCAACUAACACUUGUUACAGAGUGUGCAUGGCGGCUGCUGACAGGCCUUCCCAGUGCCAGCAAGUGGAUACAGAAGCAAUCUCCCAAGCUUUCCAUGACAUUCAAGUGACCAGGCACUUGGACACCCAUCACUGGGGCUGUGUUCCUACCUUAGCCAGUGCCCACAAGCAGCAGCGGUUCCUCUGGCGUUUUGACCCUGAAACAAUGAGCAGAGAAGAGAUGCUGUUUCAAAAUGGGAAAAGCCAGUGGGUAUCUAGGGGAAUUCCGGGCAGAGAUAAAUUGGCCCACAUGACAUCUCAGCGAAAACUCAAGGUCAAAUGAGUCCUUUAAUUCAAGCAUCAGUGGGACUGCGAAGGCUAUGUACAUGUCUGCCAACUAAAGGAUGAACACUUAUAUGUUUAUCUGUGACUUCUAAGUAAAGAAUUCUACUUUGUCCAUUCAUCUAUGGAUGGACAAGUAGGUUGCUUCUAUAUCUUGUCUAUCGUAAAUAAUGCUGUCAUGAACAUAUAUCUUUUCUAAUUAGUAUUUUUGUUUCCUUUGGGUAGAUACCCAGAAGAAUUGCUGAGUUGUAUGGUGAUUCUAUUUUUAAUUUGUUGAGGAACCUCCAUACUGUUUUCCAUGACGAUCGUACCAAUUUACACCCCCACCAACAUUGCACAUGCUUCCCUCUCCUCCACAUCUUUGCCAACCCUGGUUAUUUGUUGUCUUUUUGAUGACAGUCAUCCUGACAGAUGUGAGGUAGCAUCUCAUUGUGGUUUUGAUUUGCAUGUCCCUGAGGAUGAGUAAUAUUGAGUGUCUUUUCAUAUGUCUGUUGGCCUCUGUAUGUCUUCUUUGGAAAAAUUUAUGUUUGGGCCCUCUGCCCAUUUUUUUUUUCCCUUUUUAUGGCCACACCCGAGGCACAUGGAAAUUCCUGAGCUAGGGUUGAAUUGGAGAUGCAGCUGUGAGCCUACUCCACAGCCACAUCAGCACUGAAUCUGAGCCGCAUCUGUGACCUACCCUGCAGCUUGUAGCAACACUGGAACCUUAACCCACUGAGUGAGGCCAGGGAUUGAACCCGCAUCCUUACAGAGACAGCAUUGAGUCCUUAAUCUGCUGAGCCACAACUGGAACUCUUUCUUAACCCAUUUUUUAAUAGGGUUUUUAUAUUGAGUUUUAUGACCUCUUUGUAUAUUCUGGAUAUUAACACAUUAUGGGAUAUAUCUUUUGCAAAUAUCUCCCUCCAUUUUGUUAAUAGUUCCCUUUGCCAUGUAAAAGCUUUGUGUAUACACACACAAACGCAUACACACAUACAUACACACACACACACACACACACACAUGCACAGUGGAAUAUUACUUAGCCAUAAAAAUUGAAAUCUUGCCAUUGGGGAAAACAUGGAUGGGUCCAGACGGUAUUAUGCUAAAUGAAAUAAGUCAGACCAAGAGAGACAAAUACCAUACAGUCUCACCUAUAUGAAGAAUCUAAAAAACACAACAGACAAAAUGAAAUAAAAAUGGAUUCAUACAGAUGAGAACA